AUAAAUUGUCUUUUAAUUUAAGCCUUGAAUGAAAGAGUCGACGUAAAGCAUUCUGUACCUUUAACCUUUAAAAAUUAAUUUUAGGUUAAAAUUCCUAAGUAGCUUUUAAAGACGAUAAGACCCUAUAAAAUUUUAUCCUGUAAUUAAAGUUUAGGUAUUUAAAUAUAAGGAUUUGACUGGGACGGUAGAAAUAAUUAGCCUGUUUCCGUUUAAACACACUAAGUGGGCUCAAAGACCCCCUGAGACUUGAGAUCA
rnacentral:rRNA from 1 species